GCCGCGUCCCCGUCAGCCCGCCCCGCCGCGCCGCCUUCCCCCUCAGGCCCGGCAGAAAUGGAGUCUGUCACAUCUUUACCAUCUGCAUAAAGCAAGAAAGUGUGAAGACAGCUCCCUGACCGCUGCGCGGUGACUGAUCGGGGCAAGGGAAGGCCAUGUGAGGACAUAGCUUGGAGGCAGCCAUCUGUGAGCUGCGAAGUGGAUUCUCCCUCGCCAGGAACCAAUUCACCAGCAUCUGGACUGUGGACUUCCCAGCCUCCAGUGCUUCUCCAGCACUGACUGCAAAAACAAACAAGAGGAAGGACACACAUGGACGUACACACACGGAGAGCGCAUCGCGUGAAGACACGGGGAGAACAGCCAUCGUCAAGACAAGGGGGAGCCUCCGGAGAGGCCACGUUGCCUGGAUCUUCCAGAACACCGAGGGAGUAGAUUCUGUUAUUUCUACCACCAGUGCUCUAUCAGGCUUUUUCUCGGCAGCUGGGGUGGACUAACGUUUGUCACAUUUGUCCGUCUUUCCCUCCCUUACUUCUCUCCUGCGCACUAACCACCAACUAACAUGGCAGUCAACUUGCUGCUAUCGGCUGUCCACCUCUCCUGCGACAGAAGGUCCUACGCGGGGUCUCUUGUUUUGCUUUGCUUAGUUUUAUUGGUACCCAGGGUAUGCAUCCGCCCAAGACUGGGUCUGAUAUUGAUGCCAUCUAGGGGUGCUGGGCUUGUUUUCUCUGCAGAUGAAAGGAUUAAAAGUUUGGAA